CUGACCACUCCUACUGACUGGUUCAAUCCAGUGGUGAGCUGAUCGUGACCCCAGGUAAGGACACAGAGUUGUUCGUUAUGUAGAUGACACUGUGCUCAAAGCAUGACAACAGUC
rnacentral:snoRNA from 1 species